rnacentral:rRNA from 1 species
CCAGACUCCUACGGGAGGCAGCAGUGGGGGCUCUUUCACAAUGGGUUCCCCCCUGAUGCCGCUCCGCCGCGUGUCGUCCGACGGUCCUCUCGCUUGUAAACUCCUGUCCCCAGGGACGCAGAUGACGGUCCCUGGGGAGGAAGCUCCGGCUAACUACGUGCCAGCAGCCGCGGUAAUACGUAGGGAGCGAGCGUUGUCCGGAAUUACUGGGUGUAAAGGGAGCGGAGGCGGGGAUGCAAGUUGGGUGUUAAAUCUACCGGCUCAACUGGUAGUCGCACUCAAAACCGCAGCUCUUGAGUGAAGUAGAGGCAGGCGGAAUUCCUAGUGUAGCGGUGAAAUGCGUAGAUAUUAGGAGGAACACCAGUGGCGAAGGCGGCCUGCUGGGCGUUUACUGACGCUGAGGCUCGAAAGUGUGGGGAGCACACAGGAUUAGAUACCCCAGUAA